GAUGAAGAACGUAGCGAAAUGCGAUAAGUAGUGUGAAUUACAGAUUUCAGUGAAUCAUCGAAUCUUUGAACGCACAUUGCGCCCGCUAGUAUUCUGGCGGGCAUGCCUGUCCGAGCGUCAUUUCAACCCUCAAGCCCCCGGGCUUGGUGUUGGGGAUCGGCGAGCCUCCGCGCCCGCCGUCCCCUAAAUCUAGUGGCGGUCUCGCUGUAGCUUCCUCUGCGUAGUAGCACACCUCGCACUGGGAAACAGCGCGGCCACGCCGUUAAACCCCCAACUUCUGAACGUUUGACCUCGGAUCAGGUAGGAAUACCCGCUGAACUUAAGCAUAUCAAUAAGCGGAGGA
rnacentral:misc_RNA from 1 species